rnacentral:piRNA from 1 species
UGCUGUAUAUUGUACCCCAUGUACAUGAGC